CACGUAUUGAAGUUGCAUUAAGUCUUGAAAUUAAACAAUAUAUUAAAACCCUAAGCUACAUCUUCAUCCUAACAUAAAAAGUAUUUAGCCACUCAUAAUGUCUGAAUUAAACAAAUAUAAGUCAAAAGACAUCAUCGGAUUUAAUUACAAUCAACAAGAUAAAAUUAAUCCAUGCUAUCUUUGAUGUUCGCCAUACGAAUACCAACAAUUGCCCUUCGUUUUUCUUUCUUGCGUAGUGUAAAUCUCCCGACAAAUUAUGACUGAACAUGAUUAAUUCCACAAUUCUUGCACAAAAUCUUGAUGAAUUUUUGUACAAAAACUGGAAUUACUUUCUUCCCUUGUUGCUGCUGCUGUCCGUCCGUCCUUUGUGCGUGUAUAUCCAGUUUCAAUUUCUUCCCAGCUUUCCAAAACCAAUUAGAAUUCUAAUUGGUUGUCUUCUAUCCACUUUCUGCCACAGCUUCCUCGUGCCAAUAGGAGUC
rnacentral:lncRNA from 1 species